GGUUGUGGUGGCAGUCCUGGCACUGGGAGCCCCCUGCCCAUUACCCUAAUAGACAGGGGGCUCCCAGUGCCAGAACUGCCACCACAACC
rnacentral:miRNA from 1 species